UAGUCUUUUAAUUAAAGAAUAGAAUGAAAGGCCCCACCGGAGAGAUAUUUUUUAUCAGACCUCGAAUUUUUAUUUUUAUGAAAAGAUAAAAAUAGAAUUUUUAGACGAUAAGACCCUAUGAAGCUUUACUAAGAAUUAGUUUUUUUGGGGCAAACAAAAAUUUUGUUAUUUUCACACAGUAAAAUGUUGAUCUUAAAAAAUUUAAAGAAAAAGCUACUCUAGGGAUAACAGCAUAAUUUUUACUAAAGCCCUUAUUAAAAUAAAAGAUUGUGACCUCGAUGUUGAAUUAGGGAAAAUAGUUUGUGCAGCAGCUAGCUAUAAUGGGUCUGUUCGACCUCCUGCCCCUA
rnacentral:rRNA from 1 species